rnacentral:rRNA from 1 species
GAUGAACGCUAGCGGGAGGCCUAACACAUGCAAGCUGAGCGGUAUUGUUUCUUCGGAAACGAGAGAGCGGCGUACGGGUGCGGAACACGUGUGCAACCUGCCUUUAUCAGGGGGAUAGCCUUUCGAAAGGAAGAUUAAUACUCCAUAAUAUAAUAGAUGGCAUCAUUUAUUAUUGAAAACUCCGGUGGAUAGAGAUGGGCACGCGCAAGAUUAGAUAGUUGGUGAGGUAACGGCUCACCAAGUCGAUGAUCUUUAGGGGGCCUGAGAGGGUGAUCCCCCACACUGGUACUGAGACACGGACCAGACUCCUACGGGAGGCAGCAGUGAGGAAUAUUGGACAAUGGGUUAGCGCCUGAUCCAGCCAUCCCGCGUGAAGGACGACGGCCCUAUGGGUUGUAAACUUCUUUUGUACAGGGAUAAACCUAUCUACGUGUAGAUAGCUGAAGGUACUGUACGAAUAAGCACCGGCUAACUCCGUGCCAGCCGCCGCCGUAA